rnacentral:rRNA from 1 species
GACGAACGCUGGCGGCGUGCUUAACACAUGCAAGUCGAACGGAAAGGCCCUGCUUUUGUGGGGUGCUCGAGUGGCGAACGGGUGAGUAACACGUGAGUAACCUGCCCUUGACUUUGGGAUAACUUCAGGAAACUGGGGCUAAUACCUGAUAGGAGCUCCUGCUGCAUGGUGGGGGUUGGAAAGUUUCGGCGGUUGGGGGUGGACUCGCGGCUUAUCAGCUUGUGGGUGGGGGAGUGGCUUACCAAGGCUUUGACGGGUAGCCGGCCUGGGAGGGUGACCGGCCACAUUGGGACUGAGAUACGGCCCAGACUCCUACGGGAGGCAGCAGUGGGGAAUAUUGCACAAUGGGCGGAAGCCUGAUGCAGCAACGCCGCGUGCGGGAUGACGGCCUUCGGGUUGUAAACCGCUUUCGCCUGUGACGAAGCGUGAGUGACGGUAAUGGGUAAAGAAGCACCGGCUAACUACGUG